rnacentral:rRNA from 1 species
UACAGAGGGUGCAAGCGUUAAUCGGAAUUACUGGGCGUAAAGGGCGUGUAGGCGGUUGUAUAAGUUAGAUGUGAAAUCCCCGGGCUCAACCUGGGAAUUGCGUUUAAAACUGUAUAGCUAGAGUAUUGUAGAGGAUAGUGGAAUUUCCAGUGUAGCGGUGAAAUGCGUAGAUAUUGGAAGGAACACCAGUGGCGAAGGCGACUAUCUGGGCAAAUACUGACACUGAGACACGAGAGCAUGGGGAGCAAACAGG